CGGACGGAGGACGGAUAUGAUGACAAAGUCAUGAAGCCGACUCCACAGAAUGAGUCACAUUUGUGUCAAUCAGACUCUUAAGGAACGUUCUGAUGUCCGUGAUGAGGACAGAGAUGCAACUGUGUCUGCAUCCAGGACCUACUGCCAGUCAUCCGAAUGUAGCUA